CCCUCCCCUAGGAGGGUGCUCCAAGGUUUCCCUCUCGGAGAUAUGGUGGGCAAUAUUCUGACGCCCGGGGGCCUGGAACCCACUGUAAAUCGACGCUAUUGAUUGAUGUGCCGACAUGGAGGCAAU
rnacentral:snRNA from 1 species